rnacentral:rRNA from 1 species
CAGUCGAACGAGCGAGAGAGAGCUUGCUUUCUCAAGCGAGUGGCGAACGGGUGAGUAACGCGUGAGGAACCUGCCUCAAAGAGGGGGACAACAGUUGGAAACGACUGCUAAUACCGCAUAAGCCCACAGGUCGGCAUCGACCGGAGGGAAAAGGAGCAAUCCGCUUUGAGAUGGCCUCGCGUCCGAUUAGCUAGUUGGUGAGGUAAUGGCCCACCAAGGCGACGAUCGGUAGCCGGACUGAGAGGUUGAACGGCCACAUUGGGACUGAGACACGGCCCAGACUCCUACGGGAGGCAGCAGUGGGGAAUAUUGCACAAUGGGGGAAACCCUGAUGCAGCGACGCCGCGUGGAGGAAGAAGGUCUUCGGAUUGUAAACUCCUGUUGUUGAGGAAGAUAAUGACGGUACUCAACAAGGAAGUGACGGCUAACUACGUGCCAGCAGCCGCGGUAAAACGUAGGUCACAAGCGUUGUCCGGAAUUACUGGGUGUAAAGGGAGCGCAGGCGGGAAGACAAGUUGGAAGUGAAAUCUAUGGGCUCAACCCAUAAACUGCUUUCAAAACUGUUUUUCUUGAGUAGUGCAGAGGUAGGCGGAAUUCCCGGUGUAGCGGUGGAAUGCGUAGAUAUCGGGAGGAACACCAGUGGCGAAGGCGGCCUACUGGGCACCAACUGACGCUGAGGCUCGAAAGUGUGGGUAGCAAACAGGAUUAGAUACCCUGGUAGUCCACACC